UGGAACGCCCAAAGAGGUUGUGCUUGCUGGGUUGGUGGGAAGCGGUUGGCGGGCGGGCGUAUGGCGGCCAGGCCUAGAAGGCCACGGUCGCCGUGAGUGCCUUGAGGGUUAAUCUUUUUGAUGCCAUCAAUCGCCAAGGCCAAGUGGGAAGGUCGGGGUCCCCCAUGGACCAUCCCUUGGGCUCAUGAUGGCGGUGGGCUAACACACUUCACAGAGCGGGCUACCGCUGAGGCACCGUGAAGAGGCAUUUCCAGGGCCUGAAGGUGGUGAUCCAGGCCCCUGGAGGGAGAGAGACGAGCAGGACAAGAUGGACAGAGUUCAUUUCCCAGGGAUGCUGAACCCUGCACAAGGUGGAAGUGACUGAGCAAGGAACUAAGGGCUAUGGGUCCGUUGUAUCCGUGGCUCAAGAAGGCCCUGCAGGGAGCCGGGCGUUUGAGACGCUGAGCAGCACAAAAGAUAACUGGAUGGCCUGGCCAAAGGACUUGGGGAACCCAGAGUGGCGCUCACCGGGAAGCCGACUCACCCUCUGGCUCUGCAGAGAGUGGCCCCACUGCGCAAGAACUGCUGAAGCCGAAAAGGAUGAACCUUAUGAGGUGAGAAGCUGGGUCCGGAGACCCCAGUCUCACCUCGGGGUGAAAAGAAGAAAUUCACCUACCUUCAGGACCACUGAGAACUUUCUAAAGCUCCGCGCCUCAGCUUGCGUCUCAUCGUUACUUCAUGCAGCUCAAAUUCUACAUAAGGAAAACAGAUGCAUCAACCAGAACAUCAUGGUAGGGGGCGGCCAGAGACCACUAGAUCGUGGUAUUGGACUCAGAAAGCUGAGGAAUCGGGGGUAACUAGUCCUGCUUCUGAGCCCUGGAAAACCUGAUGAACACGAAGACUUUGAAGGUGCCUGCAGCUCAGUGACAGAAAGGAGUGUUUGAGUGACAGCUUUGAGACUACCCAGCAUUCCUUUGUGUAUGCUGGUGCGCACAUGUACAGAGGUCGAAGGACAGACAGUCUGUGGAUUCUUGGAAUGGAGCUCAGGUUGUGAAGCUUAGCAGUAAUCACCCAUACUGGCUGAACCAUCUCACCAGCCUUCUUACAGCUUUCAGACCGGACUCGAGUGUGUGAUCAGGUAGUC